CAGCAAUGUAGCAGCAGAAGACGGUUGUUUGCUAACACCGCUAGCUAACAAACUGGAGCAUUCUGUUAAGUUAACGUUACUUCUCCAGCUAGCGGUAGCGAGUUCUCUGUGAAGUUGCCAGUUAUGUUUCCUACAGGCACUUUCAACACCUGUUAUUCUUGAUGGCAUUGUGAGAGAGGGCGGCUUCCAGAUUCAUUUUAAGCCUGAGUUGGGUCCUCUGUGCCUCUUGAGGUGCUGAAUCCUAGCCUGAAGCUACAAGCUACACAGUCCAUUCAUCAAAAGCAUGACCCUCUCCAGUGAGGGACAGGAUGCUAUGGACUAAUGAACUCAGUGCAUGAUAUGAACGUAUGUGUGUCAUAUCUCUGUACAUAGGGGAGGGAAUCUUUACUUAUUACAGGCCACCACGACACAUAAAACACACCUGCAUCCUAUUUCAAUACAAAGAGAAGAGUCCGCCUCUGUCUGCUGUGCUUGUCCUUGUGUUGGAUGUAAAAUUAUUACACUAAAAACAACCCUGAAAAUCUUAAUGUCAUUGUGAUGUAUCUGGUGUGAUACUCAUUUGUCUCAUCAGCCAAUAUGCAUAUGAAACAGAUGGAUGUUUAUGUUUUAGUGUGAAAAACUACCUGCAGGGACAGAAGUUUUGUCAUUCAAUCUUUUGCCAACUUUUUUUCCUACAAGGCUUUCCAACCUGAUAAAUAUACUGCCAUAAAGCUAAUAUGUAAUGAACACCUCUGUGGUCGCAUUCCCCUCUGGAAUUUUUUAUUGUCAUACAUCAUAUGUAAAUUGGUGAUAAAGGGAUUUUCAUCUUUUUGUCCCAGCAUGAAUGUUCAGUAUACUAAACACAUGCUAGUGAUAUGAAAUCCCUGCCCCCACCCCCUCACCACCAGCGUGGAGCCCCCACCCCCAUCACCAACCCCAGGCCAAGGGUACACCUUGAUGAGUGAGGAGGGAGGCUAAUUCAGUCCUCAGGCUUAAUUAAUCCUAUGUCUUAUUUGAUGAAUGACUCCCAAAUUGUGCUGUAGUAGUGGUAUUUUUUGUGGAGGGGGCUGUGGAGCAGCGUGUUGACACGAAGCUAGGAGAAAGUCAAAGUCGGGACUUCCGAGAGGCCAGACUUUGGGCUUUGUUUGCAAAGUUGUUGUCCUCUGUGGACAGUUUAAGCCCUGUCCUCUGACGUCAGGCCGGCUGCAAAGAGUGAUGGUGCGCUGCAGGGAACAUGUGUUUAUGGAUUUCUACUAGCUAAGAUCGCUAGGAGUCCACCGCCUUUGUCUCAUGCUGGGUUUGUCAGUUUUGACAAACAUGAUUUGUUGUCUGUAAAUACCCACAGUGCCCUGCGACAUUCUUUCUGUUUUACAUGAAUAUCUGCCUCUGGGGUGGAACACAUUACAAUGAUAAAUCCCAUGUUUGACUUUCUAAUGAGAGGUGCCUAAACUAUUGAAAACCAACAGUUUUUCUUUACAAUGAAUCUAAAUGUGACGCUAAAUUGUUCAGUUAUUUGACCAAGGUUAGAGUUGAAUAUAUGAUGUACCUGAGCUAUGCCAUAUGUCUGACUUUAAUAUAAAUAUAGAAUUGUACUGUUCCCAGCACAACUAUAAUAUAAUUAUUGUGAUAUGUACACUAUUUUUUUCUGUGUUGUAAAAGUUCCUUCAGACCAUAUGAUAUCAGUUUGCCCACAGAUUCAGGACUCCUGCUUUUGCCCCGUUUAAUAUGAAUCCUUUUGUCACAAAGGGUUCUGCUUUAAGUAUGCAUUGUCCUAACAGAGGUAGCACUUAAAACUAAUGAUGUCAUAAAUUUUUUUGGCUAAUGUGGCAGGCGUAAAGGGAGUUUUGGCGGGUGGGGUGAGGGUCUGGUGAUUUGAGAGGAAGGAUGAUGAGAUUCGGUGGCCUAGCCCAAGCAAUGAACUUGAUUAAACUAAUCUCGUCUCUAUCAAAGCAUCACUCUGAUCCCCCAUGUCCCAUUAUUCAUGGCAAUGGGAUAAUUACACUGAGAUGCAUGAGGCCAGACAGAUAGCACUGUGACACGGGCCCUCAGACCCUGGGCUAUGCCUCCACUAUGUGGUCUGUUCAUUUUAAACACAGAUUAAUUAUGGUCAAUGGGAUGGUUCACAUCUGUCACUCUUAGUGAGAAAAAUGGAAAUGAUUGCCCUCAAGAAGAUAAAGGAUGUAUAUUAAGUCAUCUGCUAGUUGGAGGUUCAAUAGGGAUGAAUAUGAUCAGCAUUUUAAUUUUGACAUCAGCACUAUGAGCGUCAGAAUAAUGUGGAAAAACAGCAGCAGUAGACGUGAUAAUAUCAAUGUUUACAGCCACUGUACCAGAAAACUCACAACCCUGUCUCCUAAAACCAAAGUAUGUAGAGAUAAUGACAACUGACUCUAAUAUUUUCUGCCUAUCUGCACCUGAACAUACUCUGUGUGUGUAUUAUCUACAGUGCUUUUGUUUUUGUAAAUUUCAAUUGAUAAUGCCACAUCAAUUCUGUAAAAUAAAUUCAGUAAUGAAACAGUUUUGUUAAUUAUUUUAGCGUGUUCCCACUCACAAGUCAUCUGAACAACUCAGUGACAUAGACCAUAUUUCCCACAUGGUUGGAAAAAUAUGAAAUCAAUAUUAAAUGUUUUACAGCUAAUACAACAUCUAAGAGAAACCCCAUGAAUACUAGUAUUUUAGUUUUCUCCAAUACAUGAUUGUUACUUGUGUUUACAGUAUGUAAAACUGUAAGUCCUGCAUUGAAAAGGCAACAACAUGUAUUCAG